rnacentral:lncRNA from 1 species
GUUUGGUGGGUAUAAGUCCUUGAUGUUGGUUUGGUAGGCCCAUGGAUCCAAGUGAGGUUCACCCUAACUCUCCAAUGCAACCAAUAUGAAUUCAACGCUCCUUGAUGCUUCUAUGUGUGUUUCCUUGCAUUUGACCAAAGGUGAGCUGGAGAUGUGGCCGAGGCCUAGGUCAGCCAAACCUUGGAGGGUCGGCCGACCUACCUUUUGUGGUGGAUGGCCCGUGACUUAGUUCCCUUGGGUCCUGUAAUGAGUAUUGAGCCUUUAGGCAAAAGUUGAUGGUGAUUGGCCUUGGGUUUGGGUUGGCCGACCCUACCC